rnacentral:snRNA from 1 species
UUACUUGCAGGGUGCCGGGGCCUAUUGAUCACCGAGGACGGGCCCCCAGGGCAAGGCGCAGGCAUUGCACUGCGCUCGCGUUGACCCCUGCCGCCACCCCAAACUGGGGCAGAUGCGGCAUGCAAAUUACUGAAAUGUGGUUCGACGCAAGAGAGGGCGCCACCGCC